GAGAUUUCAAAUAGAAUAAACUUUUUAGGUUUAUUUUUUUAUGCCUUUCAUAUUAUUUUAAAAAAUAAUUAUACCACUAUAUACAACAAAAAUUAACUGCUAUACAAAAAAUUAACUUUUUUAUUUUUCAUUUUUUUAUUCUUUUUAUAUUAUUUACAAAAAUAUUUAUACAAUAUAUACAACAAAAACUAUACAACACAAAACAAUAAUGCCCACAGGGGGACUCGACCUUGAGAGGUCACAUGAAGAAGCAAUGGUCUUAACCACCACACCACCUCACCAUAUGUGGUUAUAACUUGAUGAUUAAUAUAAUAUAUUUAAAUUCCCUUUUUAUUUAAUGAUGUUUGGGAAUUAUCCUACAUCGAAAGAUGGGUAUUCCACUUUGGUAUAUAAAUAUCUAUGUAAUAUAAAUUACAAUGUUUGUGUAGAAAUAUUGGGGUAACCUCGCAAGCGUGCACGUGCGCGUCGCACGCUUGCAGGGAGGGAACCGGGCUGAACCGGAUUGGAACCACGGCGGUUCUUCUUUAGAACGGGCAGUUUCCGGUUUUGUAUUGGAACCGGCACGGGCUGUGCCGGUUCCCGAGUCGAACCGGGCGAGUCCGAUUCGACUCUCCGAUUUUUAAAAUAUUAGUGGAAAGUAUUCAUUAUUUUGGUAAUAACAAAAACUAAAAUGGAUAUUUACAUAAUUUUCCCUAUGGUUUAUGUUCUUUAUACUUACUUUGAUAUGAACCAACCCCGUAGGGUCCAUGACGGACUCAGAAACGGACAACCUAGCUUGGGCCCAAAUCAUUUGGACCGAGAACUGGAACCUAUUUGGUCAACCCAAUCUCCACCCCCUACCUGCCUGAGUGUAGGGCUACCAACAGCCCGGUCUGAACCAGAGCCUGGAAAGCUUAGACCUUGUGAAAAUUCUUAUACAAAACCAGGCCGCCCAGUACGACCCGAAAAAGUAUGCAUAGACCCCAGCCCGGAAUGGGAAGGCCCACUGGGCCUGGGCGGACCUUUUUUUUUCCUUUUGUUUUUUUAACGUUUCUCUCGCCUACAAUGACUCUUCUUAGAGGGCAAAACAGUUCAAAGGCGCUCGUUAGGCAUAUUGGGCCUGGCCCGCUUGAAAACCCGUGUCUCUCUCUACCCAUCUUUGCUCUACUCUCUUCCUCAUUGACCCAUCCUCUUAGUCUAUUGGUUAUCUCUCCAUACACGAAGCAUUACAUCCCCUUGAACCUCUCUCUAUAAAAUCCAAUGUGGGUCAUAACCUCUUGAAAAACCAACGUGGGUAAUAGCCUCUCCCUAGAAACAAAACUUGGGUCCUUGCUGUAAAUCCUUCUUAGCCAUUAAAACUGGAAUUACCUGAUGAGAGAGAGAAGAGAGAGGGAGAGAACAAGUUGUCGGAGUGGGAGAGAACGAACUCCAAAGCCUCAUGUCUAAUAGUUCAAUAUCAAAUCUCUAAUAUCUCAAUCUAUAAGAGCUUUUUGAAUCUCAAGAUGGUGCUUGCAAUCUGAUGAGGAAGCCUGAGAAGAAGCACAAUGAGCAGGGGCCUUGCCGUUCUAUUUGUUAUACCAGAGGAUACUUCUUCUUUUGUAGCCUUUGAAUCAAUGGGUUUUGUCACUGAGAGAGAGAAGGGGCUGUCACUGAGAGCAAAGAGGAAAGAGAGAGAGCCAGGUGAGAGAGGAGAGAGAUAGGGUUUAGAAAGAGAGAGCAAAGA
rnacentral:lncRNA from 1 species